AACAUUCUUAUAGAGAAGUGACUUUACAACGAAUGCGAAGUUCCUGGAGCAAGCACAGAGGAAAGAGGUGGGCUGAAAUCUCUUGUAGGAAGAAUCAAGACCUCAUCUUCUGUUCUUCCUCUGCCUCUCAGUUCCUGAUGCCACCAACUCUUCAUAUCAUCUUAACGUCACACAAAGUUCUGUCAUGAAGGAUUACACCCUGGAGAAUUCAAUCAGGAUGGGCGUGGCAGGGAUGGUCCUCCUUAUUCCAUUGAUAAUGUUGGCUGAGGCCUGGUGGAACCAUAAGGAGACACCACAGGUAGAAAUGAGAGGAAUUUCUGCCAGAACCCUGUGAACAAAUCUUUUGGCAGAAUGGACCUUGGAAAGAACUCCACCUGCUGAGAUGUCCCUGAGUGGAUGUGGAAUGUACUUAGGGUAUUAGAGCCUUUCGGGGGAUGCUUGGAAGAACAGCUGAACCUCACGAGGCAAAGAGCACACCCAAGAUAUGAGAUGAGCUCCUUGGGGACGGCAGAGAGGAGGUGCACUGACAAACAUAUAAACGCACAGACAGCA